AUUGAACGCUGGCGGCAGGCCUAACACAUGCAAGUCGAGCGGUAGAGAGGUGCUUGCAUCUCUUGAGAGCGGCGGACGGGUGAGUAAUGCCUAGGAAUCUGCCUAGUGGUGGGGGAUAACGUUCGGAAACGGACGCUAAUACCGCAUACGUCCUACGGGAGAAAGCGGGGGAUCUUCGGACCUCGCGCCAUUAGAUGAGCCUAGGUCGGAUUAGCUAGUUGGUGAGGUAAUGGCUCACCAAGGCGACGAUCCGUAACUGGUCUGAGAGGAUGAUCAGUCACACUGGAACUGAGACACGGUCCAGACUCCUACGGGAGGCAGCAGUGAGGAAUAUUGGACAAUGGGCGCAAGCCUGAUCCAGCCAUGCCGCGUGCAGGAAUAAAGGUCCUAAUGGAUUGUAAACUGCUUUUGUACAGGAAGAAACACUACUUCGUGAAGUAGCUUGACGGUACUGUAAGAAUAAGGAUCGGCUAACUCCGUG
rnacentral:rRNA from 1 species